rnacentral:rRNA from 1 species
AACGAACGCUGGCGGCAUGCCUAACACAUGCAAGUCGAACGAGAUCUUCGGGUCUAGUGGCGCACGGGUGCGUAACGCGUGGGAAUCUGCCCUUUGGCUCGGAAUAACAGUUGGAAACGACUGCUAAUACCGGAUGAUGACGAAAGUCCAAAGAUUUAUCGCCAGAGGAUGAGCCCGCGUAGGAUUAGCUAGUUGGUGGGGUAAAGGCGCACCAAGGCGACGAUCCUUAGCUGGUCUGAGAGGAUGAUCAGCCACACUGGGACUGAGACACGGCCCAGACUCCUACGGGAGGCAGCAGUGGGGAAUAUUGGACAAUGGGCGAAAGCCUGAUCCAGCAAUGCCGCGUGAGUGAUGAAGGCCUUAGGGUUGUAAAGCUCUCUUACCCGGGAUGAUAAUGACAGUACCGGGAGAAUAAGCUCCGGCUAACUCCGUGCCAGCCGCCGCCGUAA